rnacentral:rRNA from 1 species
UACGGGGGGGCAAGCGUUGUUCGGAAUUACUGGGCGUAAAGGGCUCGUAGGCGGCCAACUAAGUCAGACGUGAAAUCCCUCGGCUUAACCGGGGAACUGCGUCUGAUACUGGAUGGCUUGAGGUUGGGAGAGGGAUGCGGAAUUCCAGGUGUAGCGGUGAAAUGCGUAGAUAUCUGGAGGAACACCGGUGGCGAAGGCGGCAUCCUGGACCAACACUGACACUGAGGAGCGAAAGCCAGGGGAGCAAACGGG